AUUGAACGCUGGCGGCAUGCUUUACACAUGCAAGUCGAACGGUAACAGGCCGCAAGGUGCUGACGAGUGGCGAACGGGUGAGUAAUGCAUCGGAACGUGCCCAGUCGUGGGGGAUAACGCAGCGAAAGCUGCGCUAAUACCGCAUACGAUCUAUGGAUGAAAGCGGGGGACCGUAAGGCCUCGCGCGAUUGGAGCGGCCGAUGUCAGAUUAGGUAGUUGGUGGGGUAAAGGCUCACCAAGCCAACGAUCUGUAGCUGGUCUGAGAGGACGACCAGCCACACUGGGACUGAGAUACGGCCCAGACUCCUUCGGGAGGCAGCAGUGGGGAAUUUUGGACAAUGGGCGCAAGCCUGAUCCAGCAAUGCCGCGUGCAGGAAGAAGGCCUUCGGGUUGUAAACUGCUUUUGUACGGAACGAAACGGUCCUGGUUAAUACCCGGGGCUAAAGACGGUACCGUAAGAAUAAGCACCGGCUAACUACGUGCCAGCCGCCGCCGUAAUAC
rnacentral:rRNA from 1 species